AGUGAACGCUGGCGGUAGGCCUAACACAUGCAAGUCGAACGGCAGCACAGUAAGAGCUUGCUCUUACGGGUGGCGAGUGGCGGACGGGUGAGGAAUACAUCGGAAUCUACUUUUUCGUGGGGGAUAACGUAGGGAAACUUACGCUAAUACCGCAUACGACCUACGGGUGAAAGCAGGGGCUCUUCGGACCUUGCGCGAUUGAAUGAGCCGAUGUCGGAUUAGCUAGUUGGCGGGGUAAAGGCCCACCAAGGCGACGAUCCGUAGCUGGUCUGCGAGGAUGAUCAGCCACACUGGAACUGAGACACGGUCCAGACUCCUACGGGAGGCAGCAGUGGGGAAUAUUGGACAAUGGGCGCAAGCCUGAUCCAGCCAUACCGCGUGGGUGAAGAAGGCCUUCGGGUUGUAAAGCCCUUUUGUUGGGAAAGAAAAGCAGCAGGUUAAUACCCCGCUGUUCUGACGGUACCCAAAGAAUAAGCACCGGCUAACUUCGUG
rnacentral:rRNA from 1 species